rnacentral:rRNA from 1 species
GAAGGGUGGCAAGCGUUGUUCGGAAUCACUGGGCUUAAAGCGCGCGUAGGCGGGAGUUCAAGUGUCCUGUGAAAUCCCCCGGCUCAACCGGGGAACUGCGGGGCAAACUGGAUUUCUUGAGGCAAGUAGGGGUACAUGGAACUCUUAGUGGAGCGGUGGAAUGCGUAGAUAUUAAGAGGAACGCCGAUGGUGAAGACAGUGUACUGGGCUUGUCCUGACGCUGAGGUGCGAAAGCGUGGGGAGCGAACGGGAUUAGAUACCCCGGUAGUCCACGCCGUAAACGAUGUCUACUAGGUUGUGGAGGUUCUGACACUUUCACAGUCGAAGCAAAAGUGUUAAGUAGACCGCCUGGGGAGUACGGUCGCAAGGCUA